UGAAUAUUUACUUCGAAUAUAAAAUUUAACUAAUUUUAAUCAUUUAAUAUUUACUAAUUUGAAUAUUUCGUUUGAAUUCACGCUCUCAUAAUAGAUAGCGCUCUAAUAACAGGUAGCGUCACCUGCUGGAUGCACUAGGUGCAUCACAAUUUUAUUGUGGCUUUCGCGCAUGGAGAAGUCUUUCAUCUGCGCGGACGAUUUAAAUUUAAAGAAAGAGAAGAGAGAAAAAAAAUUUUGCGGGUGGACAUAACAUUCCUCCGGAAAAGCGAGGAGCUAGUAUAGCUUAUCGGUUUUCCUAUGGCCACCUUCCCUAUAAGCGAAAGCCACUUACAAUUUUUUUUUAGUUUAACUUAAUAUAUCUUAAUAUAAUAAAAAGAGUAACAGGUGGAGUCAUCUGGCGCCAAUAUUUAAAUUUAAAUUUAUAUUUUAUCUCGCGUGGUAUAAUAUGCUGACGGAUGGCUAAUCUCUCUCGCCUCUCGAUUUCACAAAGCAGUGUCGAGUGUUAGUAUUGUCUCAGCAGUGAGCGAGUAUUGUUAGAGUUUCAAAAAAAAAACGAGAAGAAAAGGAAAAAAAAGGAAAUGUACCCGACACAGAAGAAUUUUGAAGGGUAUGGUACUUGGUACCAGCAGGCCAUUUUUGUCUAUGGAGAGAAAGAUCUGAGAAAGGGUAUUCGCAUUUUAAGGGCCUUAGCACGUCCAGUAAACCCUGCUCGGGCGUUACGCUUGGCUUCCAGGUUCCUGGAUUUGUUUGGUCCUCUUCCUCCAGAGGUGGUCGAGGCGGUAACGUUUUUCUGUCUUCAGGGCAUUGAGGGCGUUGGCGAGCCUUGGGCCUUCGAGGAAGUAGUUACCCCUAAUAGUGAGGACCUGGAGCGUUUGGCCUUCGCUCUCAUGGGGGUGAUAUUUAACGGCUUGGUCACUAUUGCCUAAGGCAUAUCGUAUGUCAUGACGGAGAGCUGGCUCAUCGUGGAUCUUCGUUCGUGCUGAGAUCAUCAGAUUCCUUGAUUUCUUCAAGCGCAUGUUUUGUAUAAGU